UUUUAGAUAUCUAUAGGAGCUCUUUGAGUCCAGAUAUGGUCGAAGCGCUUAUAUGUACUCAAAACUGGUUGAAGCCUUCUGACAAUGAUCUAAAUGUCCUUAAUAUGACUGAAGAAUAUGAGAUUAGUGAAUCAAUUGUUUCAGAGUUUCAAGUAGCUACUGGUGGAGCAGCUGCUCCUACACAGGCUGGGCCUGUUUAAUUCUCGCCUAGCUGUGAAUUUUUGAAUAUUUUGGAGUCACUUUGUGAUUCAAUAAGACAAGCCUUUCUUUUUUGGAGUCAUUUUUUGAAACUAAGGAUGGAACCGUUUCAGUAGCUACUGCGUUUGCUGGUCAUCAGGAAGACUUUUUGGGCAGCCACUGCUGCUAGUUUCAUAACAAUUCAGUGUUCGAAAUGUUACAUUUUUUUGACUUGGGGAUUAACAAAUCUAUAUUCAUUAAGCCCAAGACAUUUCACCUUACAGUACUAAUGCUUAAGCUGUGGAAUAAAGACAG